GUGCCCACUGAGGAGAACAUAUACUAAAACUGGAAUGAUACAGAGAAGAUUAGCAUGGCUCCUGUGCACGGAUGACAUGCAAAUUCGUGAAGCGUCCAUAUUUAAA
ensembl:snRNA U6 U6 spliceosomal RNA